CAGAGUGUUUAUUAGCAAAGGACCACAGGAGGCGGCAGGUAGCUGGGUCCAGGGGCAGGCAGAAGGGCAUACACAGGGACUCCAAAAAGGACGCAACGUCAUCCUCCCUCUGGGGGAAGAGGAAAGCUCCUCAGUGAAGACCAAGAGCAUGCCGUUGUAGGAUUGGUCAUUGCUGACAAAGCAAUAAAACUGAGAUAAACUCAGACCAGAACCUGGUAUUUCACAAUUUGGAAAGGAUCAGCCUGACCACCAUUGCUCGGACUCUGACCAAAGACAGAGUUUGAAUGAAACAGUUGUACACAGUUCCUUUUCAAAGGAAUAGUGAGCAGGUCAAGGAACUCCGGCACCAAUACGUCCAGAGAGUCAUGGAGUAGGGGGCUAAUCAGACCCCCCAUGAAAUAAUUUAUGUAGAUGAGGCAGGGUUUAACCUGGCAAAAACAUGUCGGCAGGGAAGAAACGUAAUCGGGAAAAGGGCCACUGUUGAUGUGCCGGGUCAGAGAGGAGCAAAUAUCACAAUGUGUGCUGCAAUCUGGAGUGCUGGUUUGGUCCUGCAGAAAUGCCAAUUUGGUCCCUACAACACUGAGCGCCUUUUGUUUUUAGAUGACCUCCACCAACAACUGGUGCCAGAAGCAGAAAGGGAACAGGAGGAAGGAAACAUUUGUGAUUGCAUGGGACAAUGUAGCAUUCCACCAUUCUCGUGCAAUCCCAAACUGGUUUGCAGCCCAUCCAAAAAUGUUUUCCCUUCCCCCCCUACUCGACUUUCCUCAACCCCAUUGAAUGUUUUUUUUCUGCCUGGAGGUGGAAAGUGUACGAUCAUCGGCCACUUGACCAAAUGUCCUGCAAUGGAUGCUGGCUGCAGAGACAUCUCAGCUGAAGACUGCCAGGGGUGGAUAAGGCAGGCCAGGCGUUUCUAUCCAAGAUGCAGAGACAUCUCAGCUGAAGACUGCCAGGGGUGGAUAAGGCAGGCCAAGCGUUUCUAUCCAAGAUGCAUGGCGAGAGACGACAAUCGAUGUGAUGUGGACGGGAACAUGUGGCCAAAUGCUGGAGAUUGUUUAGAUUAGAACAGGACUGGGCAUUUUUGUGUUUUUUCCCUUCUGUGCCUUUUUUACAGUAAUUGUGUUUUAUUUUUUACACAUUUGGAACCAAAAGCCAUGUAUGUUGGAUUUGUUGUUGAUCACUGGCAGCAAUUUCAUGUUGCUAAUAAAGAUUUUAC